rnacentral:snoRNA from 1 species
CUGCUAUGAUGAUAUCCAUGUGGUUUCUCACUUCUGAUAAGUAGUGAGGACAAUUUUCUCUUGGCUGUCUGAGCAG